rnacentral:rRNA from 1 species
AUUGAACGCUGGCGGCGUGCCUAAUACAUGCAAGUCGAACGGAGUGGCGCACGGGUGAGUAAUAUAUAGCUAAUCUUCCCUACACUAGAGGACAACCGUUGGAAACGACUGCUAAUACUCUAUAGUGUAGGAUGAGUCUCUAUUGUAUCAGCUAGUUGGUGAGGUAAAGGCUCACCAAUGCUAUGACGCAUAACUGGUCUGAGAGGAUGAUCAGUCACACUGGAACGGAGACACGGUCGAGAUAUCUACGGGAGGGAGCAGAAGGGAAUAGUGCUCAAGGGGGGUGACCGUGAAGGAGCAACGCGGCGUGGAGGAUGACCCUUUUCGGAGAGUAAACUCAGGUUGUUAGCGUAGCGUUACCUAACGAAUAAGCACCGGCUAACUCCGUGCCAGCAGCCGCGGUAAUAC